CAGUCGCCACGGUAAUACGAAGGGUGCAAGCGUUAAUCGGAAUUACUGGGCGUAAAGCGCACGCAGGCGGUUUGUUAAGUCAGAUGUGAAAUCCCCGAGCUUAACUUGGGAACUGCAUUUGAAACUGGCAAGCUAGAGUCUUGUAGAGGGGGGUAGAAUUCCAGGUGUAGCGGUGAAAUGCGUAGAGAUCUGGAGGAAUACCGGUGGCGAAGGCGGCCCCCUGGACAAAGACUGACGCUCAGGUGCGAAAGCGUGGGGAGCAAACAGGAUUAGAUACCCCGGUAGUCCCUGUCUCUUAUAA
rnacentral:rRNA from 1 species